GACGAACGCUGGCGGCGUGCUUAACACAUGCAAGUCGAGCGGUAAGGCCCCUUCGGGGGUACACGAGCGGCGAACGGGUGAGUAACACGUGAGCAAUCUGCCCUUCACACAGGGAUAACCUCGGGAAACCGAAGCUAAUACCUGAUACGACCACUUCAGGCAUCUGAUGGUGGUGGAAAGUUCUGGCGGUGAAGGAUGAGCUCGCGGCCUAUCAGCUUGUUGGUGGGGUAAUGGCCUACCAGGGCAACGACGGGUAGCCGGCCUGAGAGGGUGACCGGCCACACUGGGACUGAGACACGGCCCAGACUCCUACGGGAGGCAGCAGUGGGGAAUAUUGGACAAUGGGCGAAAGCCUGAUCCAGCAACGCCGCGUGAGGGAUGACGGCCUUCGGGUUGUAAACCUCUUUCAGCAGGGACGAAGCGCAAGUGACGGUACCUGCAGAAGAAGCACCGGCCAACUACGUGCCAGCCGCCGCCGUAAUAC
rnacentral:rRNA from 1 species